AUGCACCUGCUUCGGCGCGGUUUCAUGCGAAGCUAUAAUUGUUGGACCAAGCAUGGAGAAAGAGGGGUUAGAAUGGAAGAAGAUGAAGAAGGGGAUGAUAUCGAUGACAACUAUCAUGAUCAUUUCGGUGAUACUUUCAUGGAGGAUGAUGCUGAAGGUGGGGAAGGGUUAGGUGAAGGUGAAGAAGAGGCACAUGAUGAGCCCGCUGAUGAUCUUGGUUGGACCAUUGCUGAUGCACGGAGACGCUGCGAAACUGACAAGGAGAGGGAGAAUUUGGAUCGCAUGUUAGAGGAUCACAACAAGUCGUUGUACCCAGGAUGCGAUAAUAGUCUGAAAAAGCUGGGCUGCACACUGGAUUUGCUAAAAUGGAAGGCACAGGAAGGUGUAGCUGACUCAGCAUUUGAAAAUUUGCUGAAAAUGUUGAAGAAUAUGUUUCCGAAGAAUAACGAGUUGCCCGCCAGUACGUACGAAGCAAAGAAGGUUGUCUGCCCUCUAGGUUUAGAGGUUCUGAAGAUACAUGCAUGCAUUAACGACUGCAUCCUCUACCGCGGUGAAUACGAGAAUUUGAAUGAAUGCCCUGUAUGUACUGCAUUGCGUUAUAAGAUCAGAGGCGAUGACCCUGGUGACGAUGUUGAGGGCGAGAAACCCAGGAAGAGGGUUCCCGCCAAGGUGAUGUGGUAUGCUCCUAUAAUACCACGGUUGAAACGUCUGUUCAGGAACAAAAAGCAUGCCAAGUCGUUGCGAUGGCACAAAGAGGACCGUAAGUCCGACAGGGAGUUGAGACACACCACUGAUGGAACGCAAUGGAGAAAGAUCGACAGAGUGUUCAAAGAUUUUGCAGCUGACGCAAGGAACAUAAGAUUUGGUCUAAGUACUGAUGGCAUGAAUCCUUUUGGUGACCAGAGCUCCAGCCAUAGCACCUGGCCCGUGACUCUAUGCAUCUACAACCUUCCUCCUUGGUUGUGCAUGAAGCGGAAGUUCAUUAUGAUGCCAGUGCUCAUCCAAGGUCCAAAGCAACCCGGGAACGACAUCGAUGUGUACCUAAGGCCAUUAGUUGAUGAACUUUUACAGUUGUGGGGCAGACCUGGUGUACGUGUCUGGGAUGAGCACAAAGGAGAGGAAUUUGACCUACGAGCGUUGCUUUUUGUAACCAUCAACGAUUGGCCUGCUCUCAGUAACCUUUCGGGACAGACAAAUAAGGGAUACAAUGCAUGCACACACUGCUUACAUGACACUGAAAGUGUACGUUUGGGUAAUUGUAAGAAGAACGUGUACCUGGGUCAUCGUCGAUUUCUUCCCCGAAAUCAUAACGUUAGAAAGAAAGGCAAGCAUUUCAACGGCAAGGCAGAUCACCGGCCGAAGCCUGCGGAACGUACUGGUGCUGAGAUAUUUGAUAUGGUCAAGGAUUUGAAAGUCAUCUUUGGAAAGGGUCCUGGCGGACAAUCAGUUCCGCGGGGAGUUGACGGGCACGCACCCAUGUGGAAGAAGAAAUCUAUAUUUUGGGAGCUAGAAUAUUGGAAAGUCCUAGAUGUCCGCUCUGCAAUCGACGUGAUGCAUGUUACGAAGAAUAUUUGCGUGAACCUGCUAAGCUUCUUGGGCGUGUAUGGGAAGACAAAUGAUACAAAGGAAGCACGGCAGGACCAGCAACUUUUGAAAGACCCAGAUGACCGGCAUCCGGAAUGGUUUCAAGGUCGUGCCAGCUACGCUCUUACCAAAGAAGAGAAGGUCAUUUUUUUUUGA
rnacentral:rRNA from 1 species